rnacentral:rRNA from 1 species
AUUGAACGCUGGCGGCAUGCCUUACACAUGCAAGUCGAACGGCAGCGCGGGAGCAAUCCUGGCGGCGAGUGGCGAACGGGUGAGUAAUACAUCGGAACGUGCCCAAUCGUGGGGGAUAACGCAGCGAAAGCUGUGCUAAUACCGCAUACGAUCUACGGAUGAAAGCAGGGGAUCGCAAGACCUUGCGCGAAUGGAGCGGCCGAUGGCAGAUUAGGUAGUUGGUGAGGUAAAGGCUCACCAAGCCUUCGAUCUGUAGCUGGUCUGAGAGGACGGCCAGCCACACUGGAACUGAGACACGGCCCAGACUCCUACGGGAGGCAGCAGUGGGGAAUUUUGGACAAUGGGCGAAAGCCUGAUCCAGCCAUGCCGCGUGCAGGAUGAAGGCCUUCGGGUUGUAAACUGCUUUUGUACGGAACGAAACGGUCUUUUCUAAUAAAGAAGGCUAAUGACGGUACCGUAAGAAUAAGCACCGGCUAACUACGUG